ACUUGCAGAAGAGCAAAAGCUGGCUUGAUCUUGAUUUUCAGUACGAGUACAGACCGUGAAAGCGGGGCCUCACGACCCUUCUGACCUUUUGGGUUUUAAGCAGGAGGUGUCAGAAA